ACCAUGCAGUCGACGAUGAUGCCCAGCUUGCUGGGUGGAUUAGUGGCGAACGGGUGAGUAACACGUGAGUAACCUGCCCCUGACUCUGGGAUAAGCGUUGGAAACGACGUCUAAUACUGGAUAUGAUCACUGGCCGCAUGGUCUGGUGGUGGAAAGAUUUUUUGGUUGGGGAUGGACUCGCGGCCUAUCAGCUUGUUGGUGAGGUAAUGGCUCACCAAGGCGACGACGGGUAGCCGGCCUGAGAGGGUGACCGGCCACACUGGGACUGAGACACGGCCCAGACUCCUACGGGAGGCAGCAGUGGGGAAUAUUGCACAAUGGGCGAAAGCCUGAUGCAGCAACGCCGCGUGAGGGAUGACGGCCUUCGGGUUGUAAACCUCUUUUAGUAGGGAAGAAGCGAAAGUGACGGUACCUGCAGAAAAAGCACCGGCUAACUACGUGCCAGCAGCCGCGGUAAUACGUAGGGUGCAAGCGUUGUCCGGAAUUAUUGGGCGUAAAGAGCUCGUAGGCGGUUUGUCGCGUCUGCUGUGAAAUCCCGAGGCUCAACCUCGGGCUUGCAGUGGGUACGGGCAGACUAGAGUGCGGUAGGGGAGAUUGGAAUUCCUGGUGUAGCGGUGGAAUGCGCAGAUAUCAGGAGGAACACCGAUGGCGAAGGCAGAUCUCUGGGCCGUAACUGACGCUGAGGAGCGAAAGCAUGGGGAGCGAACAGGAUUAGAUACCCUGGUANUCCAUGCC
rnacentral:rRNA from 1 species